rnacentral:lncRNA from 1 species
AUGGCGGAGAACGUACGGUCGCCUUUUGAGUACCGGGAGCCACCGACCCUCGACAGCGACGGGGAUGGGAGCAAACCGCCUUUGCCGCCCCGGGGGAGGGGGUGUGUCAGGAAAAGGAAGGGUACCCCUGUGAAGGUGUGUGACCGGGCCUACGUGACAGAGGAUGAAGAGGAGGAGGAAGAGGAGAGUCUGUCUGAACACAGCUACAGUCCAGGUGAUGGACAGUACCCAGACGGAGCGGAGGACAGACUGCCUCCAACCGGAAGCCCUUACUACCUCGCCGAUCCCUCCCAGCUCUGUGUGUCGGAGCUGGGCGAGGAGGGGGCGAGUGGGGUCCGGGGGCCAGUGCUCUUCCACCCCCCGCCCAACUGUAGGAUCCGAGAGGUGCACUGCGGGAGUCAGGUGCGGCUGGUCGUCAUAGCGAUUCGAGACAUCGCCAAAGGGGAGGAGAUCACAGUGGACUACAGCCUGAUGGACUGGGGAGAGAACGCCAUGGAUGAAGAGCCUGGCCCCCACCCGCUGUCUCUCUCCGACUACCUCACCCCCUCCUGGUCCCUCUCCCCCUCCUCCUCCCCGCUAACCCACACUGAGCCCAGCGAUUCAGACCGAGAGGAGGAGGAGGAAGACGACGAUGAUGACGAAGAAGAAGAGAUGGAGGAGUUGAGGGGCCGCAUGCUCCGCCGCCGAAAGAAGCGCAAAAUAGCCACCCCCCCCGUCACCGCCAAGAAGAAGAGUGUCGCCACCCCCAGGGCCGGACCCGGGCGCCCCUGCUCAUCCUCCUUCUCCCGGCUGGCUGCCUCCUCGACCCCGACCGUGGCCCAGACCCCGUCUCAGCCCGCCACCCCACUGGCGCCCCCCACCACCAACAUCAACAACAACAUCAACAUAAACAUCGGCAGCUCCAGCGGGGCCACUGUCAGCCGACGGCAGCACUGCCCCUACUGCGGCCGCCACUACCGCUCUCUGGCACGCCACCUGGAGAAACACCAUGCCAACCAGCCAGAGGUCAGGGCUGCCAUGGAGCUGUCCGCACUCCACACACACCCUUCCUCCUCUACCUCCUCCUCGCACGGCCACAUCUUCGCCUCUCCCCAGCCCUCCUCUUCCUCUACUCCCGCCCCUCCCCCUCUUUUCUCCAGGGAGAGAGAGAGGGAUGCGGUGGCCGCUCGAAGUUCCUCGGGGGCGGUCUCCUUUUCACUCUCGCUCUCCCCACCCUCGGCUUCUCAGUCGGCCGCGGCCAAAAAAGCCUCCAACGUAUCGGUUCAGACGCCCAAGCCAGGCUCCGCCCCUGCAGUGGCCCCGGUGAAAAGUCCUCCCACAUCCACGCCACCCAGGAGGGGCCGCAAGCCGAAGAGAGAGAAGGAGGAGCAGCAGAAAGCGGAGGAGUCCAUCAGGAGCAAAGAGGAAGAGAUACCUCCACCUCCUACCCCCAAGCCGGAGGAAGAAGAGCUGGAUGAGGAGCUGAGUGGAGCGGGGACCGUAGAGAGUCCUGGGGACUGGAGUACACAGCUGGCUAGCUCCCACAGACACCACAUGCCCCCUCUCCUCUCUUCCCUCUCCUGCCUGGUGCUCUACCUGAGCCGGCAGCAGCACUCUUCCUUCUUGUCUCUCACUCGCUCUCCCAGUUCGGCUGAGGCCUGGCGCCUCCUCUGCCAUUCCAGCCUGGCGCUGCUCAUCCUCUACAACCGCCACCGAGAGUGUGAAGUGGCCAAGCUCACCACCCAGGACUACCACAACCGCACCACCCCCCAAAGCCCCACCCUGACCCAGGCUAACUCGGCCAACACCCCCCCGACAGGCAUGGAGGCCAUCCUCUCCCCCUUCGAGCAUCAGGUCCUCUGCCACCUCCCCCGGGCAGGUGUGCUGGGCAAGCGGGGGCGCAUCCAGCCCCUCAUCCUGCCCCCGCACUGCGAGUCCUGCCUGGAGCUGCUCCUUCAGACCUCCUCCAACGUGGGCGUCGACCCCCACAGCCCCUACGUCUUCUCCCGGCCUUUCCAUUCGCCCGCCACGCCGCUCCGGGGCACCGACCUACUGCGCAACCUGGCGCGGGCCAGCGGCGCCAAGAACCCCCGGGCGUUGACCCAGACACGGGCGCGCCAGCAGGUAGCCAUUCUCACCCAGCUACUGCUCCUGGAGGAAGGCGAGGGGCAGGGCCAGCCGGGCGGGGCUGCCGCCAAGCGCCUGGAAGACUUCCUGCAGAGGGAGUACCACGUGACCCAGAGCUGCGCCACGAUAGGCCGAGACCCGGCGCUGAUGGGCCGUGUGGGCAGGGUGGUGAUCUAUGGGGAAAAGGAGGGGGUCCUCUUCAGAGGGAUGAGUCUGCAGCACAUCUGUCUGGAGCUGGAUGUGAUGUCAGGAAACUCUGCGGACUCCUUCUCAGACGACUCGGACGUGGAGGCAGAGAAGGUUAAGGAGAAGGUUAAGGAGAAGGUUAAAGAGAAGGUUAAGGAGAAGGUGGAGGAGAAGGAGAAGGUGGGGGAGGUGAAGAAGCAACCAGGUCAACCCCCCAGCAAGAAUAAAGCCCCCGCUCCCUCCCCGGUCAACCCCUCGCUCCCUGGUGCCCAUAAGAGGAGGAUCAUUCAACCCAAGUCCGGGAAGCGUGGGGUGCUGAAACGGCCCUGGUCGGAGGCGGAGCGCAUCGCCGUGGAGACGCACCUGAAGAGGAACAUCAUGGAGCAGCGCGUGCCAGCCAAGGCGGACUGCGAGCGCUGCCUGCAGCUCUGUCCCCUGCUGGUCAGCAACCAGCGUGACUGGAGAGCCAUCAAGUUCUACUGCCACAACCGUAUCCAGCUACUGAAGAAGCAAGGCAGGAGGGAGAGGGCAGGGAACUCUGUUAGAUAGAGAUGGGAGAGAGCGAGAGAACUGACUUCAACCAUCUGGAGUGGCCCUAUUCUAGUCCUGGAGAACUGCAGUCUGCUUGUUUUUCGUCCGAAUUUACCUGACCUCUGACCUGACCUUAGAGGUCGUUCCUGGGACUAGGUGUGCACUAUCAGUCCUAGCCCUGUAGCCCAGUAAUGCAGUGUUGUCUUCAUCAAGAGUCAAGGAGAGAAUUAACUGGGAUUAGUUGAAAUAUCUCCUCUGACCAGGGGACAUAUCCACAUAGUGUCUCAAAGGGGUCUAGGAAUCCUGUUAAAUCCUGUUUUUAAGACCCAAAAAAAGCCCCCCAGCUCACAGUAGGUUUUAUGAUGUUAAGACACUGACCAGACAAACACUGAACCAGGAGUAACAUCAACUCCUAAAAAGGUUCAUCUCAGCUGGUCGUCACGACAGUUUGAGGUACCGCAAAGGAAUGAUGGUGAUGACACUCAUCGUUGUAAAUUAUUGGAAAUAACCAAUCACGAAGAGGCAUGGCCAGCUGUGAACUGUAUAGCACGUUUUCAGACACCCAGAUGAACGUGACCGUACAUCAAAUGUUGCAAUGGUAAAACACUUGAUAUAAUUUGUCUGACACGAUCACUUUGCCUAACUCCUAAUUAUUGCCUAAUAUGUUGGCAUGCCUAACCUUUUUUUUUUUUUACCAAUUCUGAUGUUUUUUAGUUUUUUUAAAGCGUAAGUUUUAUAAUAUGGUCGCUAACACUCUGAACUCCUGGAUGAUUAUUCUAAUGUAUUUGUACGUUACUGUAGGCAUCACGUCUUUUACUGAUAAUGUUGCAUUAAAACCUAUCAUUUUCAACACCCAAUCAAGUUAACAUAGGCCCGAAUACCUUCAGUGGCCCAAUAUUACUUAGGCAUAUUAUUUAACAGUGUUGCAGGCCUUUUUUUAUUUUUAUGAUCAAGACACCUGCUGGUAACUCUUAACUGGUGAGGUCAGAUCAUGAGGUCUCUUAAAUAUCUGUCAACUAGUUUAGGUUUAAUGCCUAGCUUUUAUUUUUUUUUAUUUUACCCGUAAGAGUAGGAGUAAAAUGUCUCUUCUCAGCACUUACGACACAUUUUCUACUCCUGAGACGCUUUGUGGAUACGGGCCCUGGAUUACGAACAACAGUCCUAGAAGUUCUGGAGAAUCCCGAGUUUAAAACCCUUUUAUUUCAAUCUUUGGGAAAUGACUGAGAAAAAGUGAGGGAGUUCAAAGCAGUGGACCUCCACUGAAAGCUGAGACCAAUGUGAAUAUUACGUUGUCUUUACAAAGAGUGUAGGAGAGAAACACAUGGAUUAAACCACAUACGACCCCCCCCCCCACCACCACCACCCUAGAAUGAGCAUACAUGUCAUAUGGGUUAAACCAUACGACCCCCCACCACCACCACCACCCUAGAAUGAGCUACAUGUCAUAUGGGUUAACCAUAUGACCCCCCCCCCCCCACCACACACCACCCUAGAAUGAGCAUACAUGUCAUAUGGGUUAAACCAAUACGACCCCCCCCCCCACCACCACCCUAGAAUGAGCAUACAUGUCAUAUGGGUUAAACCAAUACGACCCCCCCCCACCACCACCACCCUAGAAUGAGCAUACAUGUCCAUGGAUUAAACCAAUACGACCCCCCCCUAGAAUGAGCAUACAUGUCAUAUGGGAGGAGCUGUUUUGAUACGUCAUAUGGGAGGAGCUGUUUGAUACAUGUCAUAUGGGAGGAGCUGUUUGAUACUGUCUAUGGGAGGAGCUGUUGAUACUGUCAUAUGGGAGGAGCUGUUUGAUACAUGUCUAUGGGAGGAGCUGUUUGAUACAUGUCAUAUGGGAAGGCUGUUUGAUACAUGUCUAUGGGGGAGCUGUUUGAUAAUGUCCUAUGGGAGAGCUGUUUGAUAAUGUCAUAUGGGAGGAGCUGUUUGAGUCAUUCAUAGGGAGGAGCUGUUUGAUACAUGUCAUAUGGGAGGAGCUGUUUGAUACAUGGCUAUGGGAGGAGCUGUUUGAUACAUGUCAUAUGGGAGGAGCUGUUUGAUACAUGUCAUAUGGGAGGAGCUGUUUGAUACAGUCAUAUGGGAGGAGCUGUUUGAUACAUGUCCUAUGGGAGGAGCUGUUUGAUACAUGUCAUAUGGGAGGAGCUGUUUGAUACAUGUCAUAUGGGAGGAGCUGUUUGAUACAUGUCUAUGAUGUUGAAGUAAGGAGGAGCUGUUUGAUACAUGUCAUAUGGGGAGGAGCUGUUUGUAAUGUCAUAUGGGGAGUAUGGUAACUGACUGGCGUGAACUCUACCUUUACUAUCACGCCAGCUGUGUUUUUAACAGUGUCGAUCAAAGUAUUGGACCAUGAUGCACCAGUGAACUUGUUCACGCAUAACUCUGUACCACGGUUUCAGUUAAACGGAUAUGUGAACAAGGCACGCAUACUUUAAAUUGUUUACAUGUCAGUUUUUUUAGUUUUUUAAAAUAUAUUUGUAGUCAUUUUACUGACAAUAUAUAUGGUCUUGUUAGUAACAAAUGUAAUAGUGUUAAUCAAUAAUGAAGUUUGAUGUAGUAGUGGUUAUAAAGUUGGUCGUAUUGUGCUAAGGUGUACAUAUUGUACAUACCACAUUUGAAGUGUUUUCUGAACCACAAAUUGUAACGUGAUUUUGCACUAUGGUAACAGAGUAACAGAAGGUUAUCUGCAGUACUGCAAAAACAAAAUAAACAAAAAAAUCUGAAUAGUCUUGA